GGACAGGACAGCUUGUUAGCCACUGUCACAUCCUUCAGAAGCAUCAACCCUCUCUGUCUGGGGUAGGGAGGGAAAUAGGAGAAGAAAGUCAGAGACCUGCGGGCAAGACUCGUGUUCCUGAUUUGCUGCAGGGAUCAUGUAGCUGGUCUCAGUGCAGCCCACAGCAAGGGCUCUGCCUGAGGGGGCACCCAGCUGGCAGAAUUAUGCAUGUUAAGAAAAUUAUUAUUUCAAAUGACCGGUCUUCUGAGAUGGUUUAUGAUGUCUGACUUCUGAACAUUUACAUGAAGAGACAAGGGAAGGGAAGAAAAAAAAUGGGAAAACAUUUUAAUGUCAAGGCUUUUUUGACAACACAGAUGAACAUCAGCCCUUACUGAGCUUUAAGCUCAGGAUCAAAAAAACUGUUGGUUGCUUGAGUUUUCCUGCUGGAAAGACCAGAACUCUGUAGUGUGCAGGGAGCCUGCCCCCCCCUGCUGGCUUGGCAGGAGAGAGAACAACAACCACACAACAGUAUAAAUGCACUUCUGAAAAGGCUGUUAAUUAAAAAAGGAAAAAAAAAGGAUUGUAUAUAUCAUCCACAUGACACUGACACAUUCCAAUUUGUAUUAUAUGACACAUACUUGGAAUGUUUACAUGACUGAUAAGCAUAUUAAUAAGCCAAGCUUUGACAGGAAAGUAUAUUUCAAGGCUUGGAUUUCUUUGACAUAGAACUCUGUUCAGGAGAUAAUUAGUGCUGCCUGCUAUCCUCUUUCUCACAGUAGAAUUUUUUCCCAUACAAGAAAGAUUAUUCAGGGCUUUAAAAAUCCUGUUCAGUUAAAUGAAACUAGUAAAGGGUAACAGAGCACACGCCAAAUAAGAGACAAAGAGAAAAUAAAAACUGAUUAAUUUAAGGAAUCAUUUGAAGAUCAACUCUGAAUUUUGUUUUGAUUCUGAAAUAGCUGGUAAUCAAUAUUGAUUUUGAUGACUACUUUUACUAUUUUUGCUACACUAUGAACUGUAUCCAAUGUUCACCUCUGAAUAGGAAUGAGCAAACCAACUUGGAAGUAGAUAUGUUUGCUGCUCCAACCAUUCUUUGAAUCCUUACUCAUUUAGAGGAUGAAACCCAGACUACAUCCAGCCUAAGAGUCUGAACUUCCGCAUCCAAGGGAGCUUCUGGUUUAGUCUCCAUAUAAACUAGACCCACACCUCUUCUUGUGUGGUGGCCUUUUCACUCAGUGUGCUAUGCUAUGGGUCCUCUGUCUGUAAUCUGUAGGGUGUGACAAAUGUAAAUAUGUCUUUAGAGACUGAGACCAGAUAGUUCCACUGUUUCUUCCGUAGCAGUGAUGGAGGCAUCCCACCUUCAGAGUGAUUUUUGUCUAUGACAGUGUUGUGCAUGUGUCAAAGACAGAAGAGUUCAAAUAUCUGAUUCCAUCAUUACUUUUGAAAGGCAAUCACUCAAAAAUUAUUGUCAUAGACUUUCUGGUUUGUUUCCUGCAAUGCAGACUGGAAGGGCCUGGUCUGGGGUUUUUCUGCAAACCCCAAAGAGAUUGUGACAGAAGACAAGCAUCUGUCAGAAACAUUUCUGCGGGUCCAGCUGGGAGUAGGUGUCACUAGCAGAAAGUCUGCGGCAGAAAUCACCAGCAAGCUGGGAAAUCCAGUGGGAAGUAACAACAUGUGGAGGCCGAAGAACGUAUAACCUAUGCUUUGCAACCUAUGAUGCUGGAAGAGCAUUGUGUUCUUCCUUUGGUAAGCCUCUGAGUCAAUUUGCAUUUAACCAUUUCCUUAGCCAUGCUGAACUCCUUUUGGUAUUACUGAUGAAGCUCAUAGCUAGAAAUGACACCCAGCUCCCAAUGUGGGACUUGUCAAGUAGUUCCACUUCAGAGAAGGUAAUGGCCCAAGGCCAUGAUGGUUUCACUCAGAGGAUGGGGACAUAUACUUAUGAUAUUCUGGUUUCCACAAUAUGGGAAAGGAGAGUGAUUAACUUUGUCCUUUUGAAGCUGACCUUUGUGUUAGUAUCUGCACAAAAUUUCUUCAUUUGUGGGAAGCUAAGUAGACCUCUUCCCUGAAAAAUCAGUUGCUUUACAGUCUUCCAGAUACCUGAAAGGUGCCAACAUACUCUCCACCCUCACAGGAAACUUUAGGUGGGAAGAACUCCUAACUCUGUGAUUGGAUAGAGGUAGCAACUCCAGUACAAGGAGAGUGAAAACACAGUGGUGUACAAGAGGAGAUAGAAAAGAACUCUACAAAUUUGAGGUACUUUUUAAAAGAACAAAGCCAAGUGCACUUUAACAAGUGAAAAAUUAUGCACAAUAAAGCAACUGCCCAAGUACAGAGUAGGGGACGUUGGUUAGAGGGUGCCCUGCAGAAAACACAACAUCCUAGACUUGAUCAUAGUCUGAGAGCAAGUUAAAAAUAGCCAUCAUCCUUAGAGGGAAAAAAUGGAACACCAUCUCAGAAUGUAAAAAAUGGAGUAUCUAUUAUAGUAUAGUAAUACAUAAUUCCUUUGGUUUCCUCAGUACUGGUGAGACCCAACUGCAGAACCAAGUCCAAUUUUGGUACUUCAGGAAAGAAACUGAGCAAUGGGAGAAGGUCAGCUGAAGAGCAACAGGAAUUAUCAGUGGUCUAGGAAGCACAACCCACAAAAAAAGUUGGAAGGAACAUAAAUUGUUUGUCCUAGAUAAUAAAAGAAGCAGAAAAGAUAUGACACAAGUCUUCAUGUACUUCAAAAGAGAAAAUUUUAGAAGAAAGGCAAUAAUUUGCUCACAACAUUUACUGCAGAAAAGACAAGAGCAAAUUGUCUCCAGGAGACAAAAGAUCAACAUUAAAACAUCAAAGGAGGAAUGUGAGGCUCUGAAAUUGAUAUGGUAAUAUUCCUCAUUCAUAUCUAUACUGUAUGUUCUUAUUUACAGGCACAGAAGGUCUCUGUUGAAAAUUUUCCGCAAGAUUACUUCCCAUCCGUUCCACUGACAGGUGCACUGAGAGAUUGAUCACAAAGCUAAAUCAAAUGGUCGUCUGAUUCUGAGGAGUUAGUACUGCCCUUCACUAUAUUACUAGGUGAAAAUGCACCACAGCAAAAAAAUUCUUACAGGAAGAUGCUCUCCUUACUGUUCAUUGCAACCACGCUGAUUUUGUUAAAUGUGCAUUCACAGACUAGGCAGACCCAGACACAUAUGGCACGUAACUGCUAAUGCUGUCACAGUUCUUAAAGGUGAUUGCCAAGAACAAUUCAUUGAAGUGGGUAAUUUGCUUACUGUGUAAAGAAAAUUAGCACCUUUGAAGCCAAAGUCUGGAAAAAGAAGAAAAUACCUUCACUAUUAUAUAUUUUUGUGAAACAAGCAGCAAUUAAUCUAUGUGGGCAGAAGUGUGCACUGGGUCAGAAUAGGCCUAGUAGGAGGAUCUAUGACCCUCUAUUAUCACUGAGAGGGUAGUAAUUGAUAGAGAUACUUUGCUUUAGCAUCCUCCCCUUGUGAUGUGGUCAGCUUAGCUGCAGCUGCAGAUGCUUUUUUUGUGAUAAAACUGUGAUUUGAAAAGUUAAGGAGCCUUCUGUUACAACUAAUCUUUCCUUAGUUAUGAGUGACCUGAAAUAAAACAAAUGUUGUAGAACCAGCAUGGAUGUUAUUCUGCAAGAUCACUCAGCAUGCAGCCCCUUACUCAAGUGACUCAUGGUCCUGGGGACUACAGGGGGGAACAAACCUCCCUCCCAGGCUCUGCACUGAACUCACAGAACUGGUCUGAGCUAGAAAGUGAAGAUCUUUCCAAGAGUGAUCAGCCUUGACCAAAGCAGUUCCCCUUCGGAGAAAGAACUGAGCCAUGCCAGCUGGUGUCUCAGGAGUCUGCACACACAAAACACACAUGCUUCAGCAGCAGAAGUCAGCGAAGAAGGAUACCCAGCUUACUCAGUGUCUUUUGGAGCCUGACUUACUUAUGCAUCUUAUAAAGCAAGACCUUGGUUUUUUGUGUGAAACCCAUCACCACUAGCUGUUCACUAGAAAUAAUUUUGGAAGUACAGAUUCUAGAAACCUAGUUGGUCUGGGGAGGAAAUAGCCCAGAGAUUUUGCUCACUGUGAUUUGUAAGUUGUGCUCUGAUUUCAAAAGCCCUGCUCGUGCACAAGCACUGAGGAAAUAAGGCAACCCAAGCAAGUGCUGUCGAAGUGCUCAGCAAAGCCAGCAGGGCUGUGCCACCAGCAGUGCUGGCACCUGGGGCCUAUCCAUGUCUCUCGUUCUGCAGAGCUUGCAAGUGGGAUGAAGACAUGACUUAAUGAGGCAGCUGGGAGCUGAAUCUAAAGUGAUAACAGAAUACACAAGGGUGAUAACACACUAGUGAUCCCAGAAGACUAUGUUUUCCUUACAGGGAAGAAAAAAAUAUUCUUUGUGAAGAAAUUAUCCUUAAAUACUGUAUUGUGUUUUGGGAAAUAUGUGAAAGAUAUAGGUCAUUAGGAGGGUAUAAGGUGAAAAGGGGAUAGCAGUCAACUGGCAAAGAAUUGUGGCUUCUUCAUUAAUAACUCCCAGCAGUAUUGCAAAGCAGGAACAGCAGGCCAUGUUCAGCCAGGAAGUCCAUCCUUAGAGGAAACUUCUAUUCUCUUCAUAUGUUAUUUUAAAAUUCUGCCUUUAAAGAAGGAGAUACUUUGAUCUUUAAUUCGUCCCUAUUGAUAUGGCUGGAAUGUGUCCAUAUGGCUGAUGUAGUUGCUAGGCUACUCUUGAUAAUUUUUGAUCAAUCAUGAAGACUGGGAAAAGUGCCUGAAGACUGGAGGAAAGUAAAGGACAAUCUUGACUUGAAGAAGGGCAAGACAACUACAGGCUGGUCAACCCCACUUUGAUCCCAGGAAAUGAGAAGGAGCAGCUGAUUCUGGAAACUAUUUCCAAGCAUAUUAAAAACAAGAAAAUCAUCUGAGUAGUAAGCAUGGAUUUACCAAUUGGGAAGUCAUUCUAGACCAACUUGGUAAAUUUCCAUAAUGAAAUGACUGGCCUGGUAGAUGAGGGGAGAGCAGAGGUUAUUUUCUACCUGGACUUCAGUAGGACUUUUGGCACUGUCUCCAGAAAAUCCUCAUAGAGAAGCUGUUGAUAUAUGGGUUGCACGAACAGACAGUGAAGUGGAUUCAAAACUGACUUAACAGUCACGCACAGAGAGUGGUGAUCAGACACAAAAUCAGCUUGGUAGCCACUAACUAGCAAGUUUGCUGAUGAUACCAAACUUGGGAGGAGUGGCUAAUAUGCUGGCAGGUUAUGCUGCCAUCCAGAAGGACCUCAA